UACACCCCCCGCCAAGAAAUCGGAUAUCCGCGGAUAACUGUCCAAAAUUUCAAAGUUUGAGUUAGAGUUGAUUUAGGUUUCCUGAUGACCUACAUUUUAACUCCCUUCAACCCCCAAUGCUGACAAAUUGUCGGAUCACCCUUUAAAACGCGUUUAUCCAAUUCGGAUAGGAUUUUGCAUAUCUUUUGGAUAUCCUCGAAAGACAAGUGACGGAUUCUCGUCAUCCAAAUUUUGACCAUUUUUGGAUAGCAUUUUGCACAACAUUAAAAAUGCUCUUUUUCCGUCAUUUGGUAUUUUUAACCAAAAAUAUUUGUAUCCCAAAUUGGAUAUCUGAUGGAUAUCAAUCGGAUAUCCAAUGGCGGACAAGUCCAAAUUGUGACUAAUUUUGGAUAACAUUUUGCACAAAAUUAAAAAUGCUUUAUUUCGUCAUUUUUAGUAUUUUUAAUCAAAAAUAUUUGUAUCUCAAAUUGGUUAUCUGAUGGAUAUCCAUCGGAUAUCCAAUAGCGGACGAUGAACUUAGAAAAAUUUUAUAAAAAAAAUUAUGACACGUUAUUCCCUUAUUUUUUUCAGCAAAAGUACAAACUUUUUAAAAUUAAGAAUUUGAAAUGAAAAAUAAAAUUUCAAGUACACGGCUUUCGCAUGCAUUUUAAAUAAUUAAAUAUUUUUUUUAAAAAUCUAAGAAAAUAUAAUUAUAUUAUUUACAUAAUUUCAUUUUGAAUUGACGAAGAUUGCCUUUUUGUCCUCUUGCUAAUAUAUUUUAUAUAAUAAUCUCAACUAUCGUGUUUCCUAUAAUUUUAAAUAAUAUUUCUACUCGUAUGAAAUGAGAAGAAAAAAGUAAGGAGAACUUUAAGAUUAGCGCACGCGACUCAUUCAGAGCUACAUGCCGCAAAAGCGCGUUUAAUUCAAAGUCAUGCUCCGCAUGAAACGCGUGCGGAUGAGAUGCAUUAUUUUUCGUUCUGCAACCGCACCAAACCGCACACAACGCAUACACGCCCGCUCAAUCAGAGUUGCCAGCUUCGCGCGCAGGCUGGCUUCACUUCAUUCCAAUCCACAAGCGCACAGUGUGAAAUGGCAACAGCGCACCAGCGCAGACGACUAAGGCACUCGCAGCAGCAGAGUGCGUAUGCAUUCGCUCGCAUUCUGCAUCCAUUGGACAACAGACUUCGUAAUUGAAUAGUGUUUUGUGUGGUGCCGGUUCGCGUUCAUCGAAUUUAAAAUGGAGUUGACUCGAUGCAAAUUUAUGGAGUGUCUCUGGAGUACAUUUCUACCCAUCGGACAUUUCUCCUAGGAGUUUGAUACGAAAAAACAGCGAGUGAGUCUUCCUCGGGAAAGUCUUACAAGAAGAGAAAUAUCAGGAAUGUGGCUGCUUUAGUGGAUUUUGAUGAGUGUUUGGCCUCUGGAAUGUUGAAAUGGACUAUGCAGCCUCUUAAUUAUGGUGUGCCAAAUAGCUCCAGAACAUUCUGAGUGACUCGGACGAGGAAGUUCUCUCUAAAAUUGGGAAUUAUCGAGUCAUCUGCUGCCUGGUCAAUCCUCCACCUCAUUUGCAUCACCUUCCCUCUUUGGAUGACGACUAUUUCCGUCCCAAUGAAGGCCACGACCCUGAUAACGACCGCCAUUCCAUUGACCACCAUCAAAUUCAACAUUCUUGUAAAAGCCAAUAUGUAAGUUUUUACUCAAAUAAAAUUAAAAUAAAAACUAUAAAAAAUUUUAAUUUACAGUAAACCAUAUUUUUCCCAAAAUUUUACAAAUUUGCCCAGAAAUAUCGCCUGUCCAAAAUUGGACAGUUUAUGGACAGUCAUACCGAGAAGGAUAUCCUGGUGUACAGGUCUCGGUAUAUCCAAAAGAUAUCCGCCGGAUAUCCAUUACGGAUAUCCGAAUUGUAUCCGUUAGCGGAUAUCUUUUCGUCACUUCUUAAUUUUUUUUAGAUCUGUUUUAGAUGGGUAUUCAAUUUCAUGCCAGUGUGGCCCAAAAAUUAGACUAUCCAAAAUCCGACAAAUUUAGGACAGUUAUACCGAAGGAUAUCCAAAUGUACAGGCGUCCGUAUAUCCGAAAGCAUAUCCUUCGGAUAUCCAUUACGGAUAUCCGACUAUCCGAAACGGAUAUCUUUCGGAUAUCUUUUCGCUAUCUUUUUUCUUGG